rnacentral:rRNA from 1 species
GGCGAAGUCACUGAUUCCAUGCUCCCAAGAAAAUCUUCUAGCGAGUUGACACGGUGCCCGUACCCCAAACCGACACAGGUGGGCGGGUAGAGAAUACCAAGGCGAUCGGGAGAACUGUAGUUAAGGAACUCGGCAAAAUGCAUCCGUAACUUCGGGAGAAGGAUGGCCUUAUUAGCGUGAAGGACUUCGCGUCCGGAGCGUGAAAAGGUCGCAGAGAAUUGUGGGAAGCGACUGUUUACCAAAAACACAGGAGCGUGCUAAGUCGUAAGACGCCGUAUACGCUCUGACGCCUGCCCGGUGCUGGAAGGUUACGGGGAUCGGUUAGCUUUCGAGCGAAGCUGAGAACCUAAGCCCCAGUAAACGGCGGCCGUAACUAUAACGGUCCUAAGGUAGCGAAAUUCCUUGUCGGGUAAGUUCCGACCUGCACGAAUGGCGUAACGACUUCCCAACUGUCUCAACCACAGACCCGGCGAAAUUGAAGUACGAGUAAAGAUGCUCGUUAGCUGCAUCAGGACGGAAAGACCCCGUGCACCUUUACUACAACUUGAUGUUGGGUUUUGGUUCAGUUUGUGUAGGAUAGGUGGGAGGCUUUGAAGCAUCGGCGCUAGUCGGUGUGGAGCCAACGUUGAAAUACCACCCUUUCUGCACCGGAACCCUAACCUUGGUCCGUGAUCCGGAUCAGGAACAGCGUCAGGCGGGUAGUUUGACUGGGGCGGUCGCCUCCUAAAAUGUAACGGAGGCGCCCAAAGGUUCCCUCAGGCUGGUUGGCAAUCAGCUGUUGAGUGCAAUGACACAAGGGAGCUUGACUGCGAGACUUACAGGUCGAGCAGGUACGAAAGUAGGGCAUAGUGAUCCGGCGGUUGCUUGUGGAAGCGCCGUCGCUCAACGGAUAAAAGGUACCCCGGGGAUAACAGGCUCAUCUUCCCCAAGAGUCCAUAUCGACGGGAAGGUUUGGCACCUCGAUGUCGGCUCGUCGCAUCCUGGGGCUGAAGCCGGUCCCAAGGGUUGGGCUGUUCGCCCAUUAAAGCGGUACGCGAGCUGGGUUCAGAACGUCGUGAGACAGUUCGGUCCCUAUCCGAUGCAGCCGUAAGUGAAUUGAGAAAGGUUGUCCCUAGUACGAGAGGACCGGGACGAACGCAGCUCUCGUGUGACAGUUGUCCUGCCAAGGGCAUGGCUGUUUUGCGACCUGCGGGUGGGAUAAGCGCUGAAAGCAUCUAAGUGCGAAGCCCGUUUCAAGAUAAAUUCACUCACUGGGUUAACCAGGUAAGGCCCGUGGCCAGACGACCACGUUGAUAGGCCGGAAGUGUAAGUGCGGUAACGCAUUCAGCUGACCGGUACUAAUCGGCCGAGGGCUUGGAGUU